rnacentral:rRNA from 1 species
AACUAACAAGGAUUCCCCUAGUAACUGCGAGUGAAGCGGGAAAAGCUCAAAUUUAAAAUCUGGCAGUCUUUGGCUGUCCGAGUUGUAAUCUAGAGAAGUAUUAUCCGCGCUGGACCGUGUACAAGUCUCCUGGAAUGGAGCGUCAUAGAGGGUGAGAAUCCCGUCUUUGACACGGACUGCCAGGGCUUUGUGAUAUGCUCUCAAAGAGUCGAGUUGUUUGGGAAUGCAGCUCAAAAUGGGUGGUAAAUUCCAUCUAAAGCUAAAUAUUGGCGAGAGACCGAUAGCGAACAAGUACCGUGAGGGAAAGAUGAAAAGAACUUUGGAAAGAGAGUUAAACAGUACGUGAAAUUGCUGAAAGGGAAACGCUUGAAGUCAGUCGCGUUGGCCAGGGAUCAACCUUGCUUUUUUGCUUGGCUUACUUUCUGGUCGAUGGGUCAGCAUCAAUUUUGACCGGUGGAAAAAGUUCAAAGGAAUGUGGCAUCUUCGGAUGUGUUAUAGCCUUUGUUCACAUACAUUGGUUGGGAUUGAGGAACUCAGCACGCCGCAAGGCCGGGUUUUUAACCACGUACGUGCUUAGGAUGCUGGCAUAAUGGCUUUAAUCGACCCGUCUUGAAACACGGACCAAGGAGUCUAACAUGCCUGCGAGUAUUUGGGUGAAAAACCCGAGUGCGUAAUGAAAGUGAAAGUUGAGAUCCCUGUCGUGGGGAGCAUUGACGCCCGGAUCUGACCUUUUGUGACGAUUCUGCGGUAGAGCAUGUAUGUUGGGACCCGAAAGAUGGUGAACUAUGCCUGAAUAGGGUGAAGCCAGAGGAAACUCUGGUGGAGGCUCGUAGCGAUUCUGACGUGCAAAUCGAUCGUCAAAUUUGGGUAUAGGGGCGAAAGACUAAUCGAACCAUCUAGUAGCUGGUC